AUUGAACGCUGGCGGCAUGCCUUACACAUGCAAGUCGAACGGCAGCGCGGGUGCUUGCACCUGGUGGCGAGUGGCGAACGGGUGAGUAAUACAUCGGAACGUACCUUAUCGUGGGGGAUAACGCAGCGAAAGCUGUGCUAACACCGCAUACGCCCUGAGGGGGAAAGCGGGGGAUCGCAAGACCUCGCGCGAUUAGAGCGGCCGAUGCCUGAUUAGCUUGUUGGUGGGGUAAAAGCCCACCAAGGCGACGAUCAGUAGCUGGUCUGAGAGGACGAUCAGCCACACUGGGACUGAGACACGGCCCAGACUCCUACGGGAGGCAGCAGUGGGGAAUUUUGGACAAUGGGGGCAACCCUGAUCCAGCAAUGCCGCGUGAGUGAAGAAGGCCUUCGGGCUGUAAAGCUCUUUUGUCAGGGAAGAAACACCGGCUCUAACACAGUCCGGUAAUGACGGUACCUGAAGAAUAAGCACCGGCUAACUACGUGCCAGCCGCCGCCGUAAAAC
rnacentral:rRNA from 1 species